rnacentral:rRNA from 1 species
UUAUCAAAAACAUCGCCUCUUGCAAAACUAACGAAUAAGAGGUCACGCCUGCCCGGUGACUUUAAGUUUAACGGCCGCGGUAUUUUGACCGUGCAAAGGUAGCGCAAUCACUUGUCUUUUAAAUGGAGACCUGUAUGAAUGGCAUCACGAGGGCUUAACUGUCUCCUUUCUCUGGCCAAUGAAAUUGAUCUCCCCGUGCAGAAGCGGGGAUAAAAACAUAAGACGAGAAGACCCUAUGGAGCUUUAGACACCAAGACAGCUUACGUCAAAGGCCUCAUAUAAAAGAUUGAACUACAUAAAUCUCUGUCCUAAUGUCUUCGGUUGGGGCGACCCUGGGGAGAUAAAGAACCCCCAUGAGGACUGGAGAGAUAUCUCCAAAACUAAGAGCUCCCGCUCUAAGAAGCAGAACUUCUGACUGCAAGAUCCGGCAACGCCGAUCAACGGACCGAGUUACCCUAGGGAUAACAGCGCAAUCCUCUUCUAGAGCCCUUAUCGACGAGGGGUUUACGACCUCGAUGUUGGAUCAGGACAUCCUAAUGGUGCAGCCGCUAUUAAGGGUUCGUUUGUUCAACGAUUAAAGUCCUACGUGAUCUGAGUUCA